CUGGUUGAUCCUGCCAGUAACAUAUGCUUGUCUCAAAGACUAAGCCAUGCAUGCCUAAGUAUAAACUGAUUUAUAGUGAGACUGCGUACAGCUCAUUAUAUCAGCAAUUAUUUAUUUGAUGGUCCUUACCACUUGGAUAACCGUGGUAAUUCUAGAGCUAAUACAUGCGCAAAGGCCCGACUUUACGGAAGGGCUGUAUUUAUUAGAUUCAAAACCAACGCGAGCUCUUCGGGGUUCGGUCUGUUGGUGAUUCAUAAUAACUGAUCGGAUCGCAUAGCUUUAUGCUGGCGACAGUUCAUUCAAAUUUCUGCCCUAUCAGCUUGUCGGUAGGAUAAAGGCCUACGGAGGCUAUCACGGGUAACGGAGAAUUAGGGUUCGAUUCCGGAGAGGGAGCCAGAGAAACGGCUACCACAUCCAAGGAAGGCAGCAGGCGCGCAAAUUACCCACUCCUGACACAGGGAGGUAGUGACAAGAAAUAACAAUACCGGGCCUUUCCAGGUCUGGUAAUUGGAAUGAGUACAAUUUAAAUCCCUUAACGAGGAUCCACUGGAGGGCAAGUCUGGU
rnacentral:rRNA from 1 species